rnacentral:tRNA from 1 species
CAAGAAAAGGUCAGGAUAGCUCAGUUGGUAGAGCAGAGAACUGAAAAUCCUCGUGUCAC